AACAAACGCUGGCGGCGUGCCUAAUUCAUGCAAGUCGAACGGGGAAAGCUUUCGGGUGAGUACUAGUGGCGCACGGGUGAGGAACGCGUGGGUAAUUUUCCUUGAAGUGGGGGAUAACUAGUCGAAAGAUUAGCUAAUGCCGCAUAAGACCACGAAAUCUGAGGAUUUUGAGGUAAAAGGUUUUUCGCUUCAAGAUAAGCCCGCGUAAGAUUAGCUAGUUGGUGAGGUAAUGGCUCACCAAGGCGACGAUCUUUAGCUGGUCUGAGAGGAUGAUCGGCCACACUGGAACUGAGACACGGUCCAGACUCCUACGGGAGGCAGCAGUAGGGAAUAUUGCACAAUGGAGGAAACUCUGAUGCAGCGACGCCGCGUGAGUGAUGAAGGACUUCGGUUCGUAAAGCUCUGUCGCAUGGGAAUAAUAAAUGAAGGUACCACGCAAGAAAGGAUCGGCUAACUUCGUGCCAGCCGCCGCAGUAA
rnacentral:rRNA from 1 species